GUGCUUCAGCCCCACACUUACCAAUGUUGGAACAAUAAAGGGAAGGUUAGCGUGCCCCUGAGCAAACAUGACUUGCAAACACGUGAAGCAUUCCAUGUCUUU
rnacentral:snRNA from 1 species